GACGGCCUGGUGUCCGGGGCCGAGGUGACACCGUGGGCUGGGGGGGCGGUGGAGCCCGGGGCCGGCCUGGUGUCCGGGGCCGAGGUGACACCGUGGGCUGGGGGGGCGGUGGAGCCCGGGGCCGGCCUGGUGUCCGGGGCCGAGGUGACACCGUGGGCUGGGGGGGCGGUGGAGCCCGGGGCCGGCCUGGUGUCCGGGGCCGAGGUGACACCGUGGGCUGGGGGGGCGGUGGAGCCCGGGGCCGGCCUGGUGUCCGGGGCCGAGGUGACACCGUGGGCUGGGGGGGCGGUGGAGCCCGGGGCCGGCCUGCUCUCCGGGGCCGAGGUGACACCGUGGGCUGGGGGGGCGGUGGAGCCCGGGGCCGGCCUGCUCUCCGGGGCCGAGGUGACACCGUGGGCUGCGGGCGCGGUGGAGCCCGGGGCCGGCCUGGUGUCCGGGGCCGAGGUGACACCGUGGGCUGGGGGCGCGGUGGAGCCCGGGCCAGAACUGCUUUCCGGGGCCGUGGUGACUCCGUGGGCUGCGGGCGCGGUGGAGCCCGGGGCCGGCCUGCUCUCUGGGGCCGAGGUGACACCGUGGGCUGCGGGCGCGGUGGAGCCCGGGGCGGAACUCUCCGGGGCCGAGGUGACACCGUGGGCUGGGGGGGGGGGGGAGCCCGGGGCCGGCCUGGUGUCCGGGGCCGAGGUGACACCGUGGGCUGGGGGGGCGGUGGAGCCCUGGGGCCGGCCUGGUGUCCGGGGCCGAGGUGACACCGUGGGCUGGGGGGGCGGUGGAGCCCGGGGCCGGCCUGGUGUCCGGGGCCGAGGUGACACCGUGGGCUUGGGGGGCGGUGGAGCCCGGGGCCGGCCUGGUGUCCGGGGCCGAGGUGACACCGUGGGCUGCGGGCGCGGUGGAGCCCGGGGCGGGCCUGGUGUCCGGGGCCGAGGUGACACCGUGGGCUGGGGGGGCGGUGGAGCCCGGGGCGGGCCUGGUGUCCGGGGCCGAGGUGACACCGUGGGCUGGGGGGGCGGUGGAGCCCGGGGCCGGCCUGGUGUCCGGGGUCGAGGUGACACCGUGGGCUUGGGGGGCGGUGGAGCCCGGGGCCGGCCUGGUGUCUGG
rnacentral:lncRNA from 1 species